UGGAAAUCUGUGAGGAUCUAGUGAAUUA
rnacentral:piRNA from 1 species